AGGAUCCUGCUCGUUGCUGGUUCGCCCUUCGGGGGCGAGGCAAGAGGGAACCCGGUGAGAUUCCGGGACUGCCCCGCAGCGGUGAACGGGAACGACCGCCGUCAUGAGAGCACUGGGCGCAGUUUGCCUGGGAAGCGACGGCCAGUAGGCGUGUGCGAGGCGCCCGUGAGUCCGAAAACCUGCCGGUGACGUGUGGAAGAG
rnacentral:ncRNA from 2 species